ACACUUACCAUGCAGGGGAGAUACAAUCACGAAGGUGGUUUUCCAGGGCGAGGCUUAUCCAUUGCACUCCGGAUGUGCUGACCCCUGCAAUUUUCCCAAAUGUGGGAAUCUCAACUGAAUAAUUUGUGGUAGUGGGGGACUGCAUUCAUGCUCUCCCCUG